AUUGAACGCUGGCGGCAGGCCUAACACAUGCAAGUCGAACGAUUGGCGGACGGGGGAGUAAUGUCUGGGAAACUGCCCGAUGGAGGGGGAUAACUACUGGAAACGGUAGCUAAUACCGCAUACCCUCGGAUGUGCCCCGAUGGGAUUAGCUAGUAGGUGGGGUAACGGCUCACCUAGGCGACGAUCCCUAGCUGGUCUGAGAGGAUGACCAGCCACACUGGAACUGUGACACGGUCCAGACUCUGCCGGGAGGCAGCAGUGGGAAAUAUUGCACAAUGGGCGCAAGCCUGAUGCAGCCAUGCCGCGGGUAUGAAGAAGGCCUUCGGGUUGUAAAGUACUUUCAGCGAGGAGGCGUUACUCGCAGAAGAAGCACCGGCUAACUCCGUGCCAGCAGCCGCGGUAAUAC
rnacentral:rRNA from 1 species